UAUUUCACAUUCUGCUUGGUCACUAGCCCCUCUCAGGGUAGCAACUUGGUGUGGCAGAUUUUGAAGAUCAUAUAUAGAAGACAUAUGGAGAAAUAUGGGAGCCAAAAUGUACAAAUUUAGGAGUAACUGAGGCAAGGCUCAUUGAAGAAGAAAGCAGGUGCAGGACGAGUUAGCCAUUCAACGGCGAUUCUCACGGAGGGAGACGAAACUAAGAUUGGGCUUGUGGUUGGGUCAUCAUUUUCAUUUCGACUCAACUUGAGUUCAGGGUCACCGACUGCUAUGAAAAAUUAAUCAGUGUGCUAUUAGAGGCAAUGCAACAAGGUGAAGUUAAUUUCCAGAGAAGAUGAAUAGUUCAUGCAUGCUUCCCAGAGGUAGCCGUAAGAGUAGUUAGUCUAUGGAUGGUGAUUGUGUUGGAAAUGAUGUGAUGAGCUCCUAGAUAUCUGUCGGACAAUUUUGUAUGAUAAUUAAUAAGUCUGAAUUAGAAGAAUUUCUAAUUUAGCAAUAUGACAAGCAAAGUGGCCUCGGGCCUUACGUGAGUUU